CCACCAGGAAAUUGUUUAAUUAAUGUCUAUAUCGAUCCCACCUAGAAAAUCACAGAACAGAUCUUUCUUACCUUUAUUGCUCCUCCUACUACUUACCUUGCCUGACUUCUGGAGGGAAAAAUACAAAUACCAUCACACCAUACCAUACCCUGUUUCACUUCGAAACCCAAACCCACUGAAUUUUGGAGAGAGAAAUUUAAGAGAGAGAGAGAGAGAGAGUUUUACACAGUAACUCAAACCAAGCAAGACCCAACACUUCCAAACCAGUUCUAGAGAGAGAGAGAGAAGAUGUUUGCAGCAGAGAAUGGACUCAGGGGAGACCCAAGGCUUCAAGGCAUCUCUGAAGCCAUUAGAGUCGUCCCUCACUUCCCCAAAAAAGGAAUAAUGUUUCAAGACAUAACGACUCUGUUGCUGAACCACAAGGCAUUCAAGGACACUGUCGACAUUUUUGUCGAUAGGUACAGGGACAUGGACAUCUCUGUUGUUGCUGGAAUUGAAGCUAGAGGAUUCAUGUUUGGUCCAUCUAUCGCCUUAGCAAUCGGUGCGAAGUUUGUUCCAUUACGUAAACCUGGAAAAUUGCCAGGUGAAAGAAUUUCAGAAUCGUAUGUGCUUGAGUAUGGUACUGACUGUCUAGAGAUGCAUGUGGGUGCUGUUCAGCCUGGGGAAAGGGCAGUGGUGAUCGAUGAUUUAGUAGCUACGGGAGGGACUCUCUCUGCAGCAAUAAGACUUUUAGAACGUAUGGAUGCUAAGGUGGUCGAAUGUGGAUGUGUCAUUGGGUUGCCAGAGGUCAAGGGACAAAACAGACUAAAUGGAAAGCCGCUAUAUAUUCUUGUGGAGCCACGGGAAUUAGAAGAUUGUUGUUAAGGUACAAUACCAUUGUUCUCGAAGUUUGUUGUUAAGGUACAAUACCACGGGAAUUAGAAGAUUGUUGUUAAGGUCUGCAGGUGCUUAGGCUGAAUUCUGUGUAGAAAAGUGGUGCCAAGGCCAUGAAAUCCUGGUGUCUCUCUUCAUAGUUGAUCUCACAAGUCCCCGCUUUCUGACUCCGUUUUCCCGGCGUUCUUGUUCCUAUUCUUUUUUCGUUUCGUAACUUUUCCUGUCAGACACUUGAAUCUUUCAGACACUUCGAUGCUCCAUGAAGAAUUUAACAAAACAUGAUUAGAGAAAAGAAUGUGAUAUGGGAUGUAUCGCAGAGUGUAGUUGAGCUGUUUGGAAAAUGGCAAAUUGAAUUACUAA